rnacentral:rRNA from 1 species
UGGGGAAUAUUGCACAAUGGGGGAAACCCUGAUGCAGCGACGCCGCGUGAACGAAGAAGGUAUUCGUAUCGUAAAGUUCUGUCCUAUGGGAAGAUAAUGACAGUACCAUAGAAGAAAGCUCCGGCUAAAUACGUGCCAGCAGCCGCGGUAAUACGUAUGGAGCGAGCGUUGUCCGGAAUUAUUGGGCGUAAAGGGUACGCAGGCGGUUUAAUAAGUCGAAUGUUAAAGAUCGGAGCUCAACCCCGUAAAGCAUUGGAAACUGAUAAACUUGAGUAGUGGAGAGGAAAGUGGAAUUCCUAGUGUAGUGGUGAAAUACGUAGAUAUUAGGAGGAAUACCAGUGGCGAAGGCGACUUUCUGGACACAAACUGACGCUGAGGUACGAAAGCGUGGGGAGCAAGCAGG